rnacentral:rRNA from 1 species
UACAGAGGGUGCAAGCGUUAAUCGGAAUUACUGGGCGUAAAGCGUGCGUAGGCGGUUAUUUAAGUCGGAUGUGAAAGCCCCGGGCUCAACCUGGGAAUUGCAUUCGAGACUGAAUAGCUAGGGUGCGGUAGAGGGAAGCGGAAUUUCCGGUGUAGCGGUGAAAUGCGUAGAUAUCGGAAGGAACAUCAGUGGCGAAAGCGGCUUCCUGGACCAGCACCGACGUUCAGGCACGAAAGCGUGGGGAGCAAACAGG